UACGAAGGGUGCAAGCGUUACUCGGAAUUACUGGGCGUAAAGCGUGCGUAGGUGGUUGUUUAAGUCUGCUGUGAAAGCCCUGGGCUCAACCUGGGAAUUGCAGUGGAUACUGGGCGACCAGAGUGUGGUAGAGGAUAGUGGAAUUUCCGGUGUAGCAGUGAAAUGCGUAGAGAUCGGAAGGAACAUCUGUGGCGAAGGCGACUAUCUGGGCCAACACUGACACUGAGGCACGAAAGCGUGGGGAGCAAACAGG
rnacentral:rRNA from 1 species